CCUACGGGCGGCAGCAGUGAGGAAUAUUGGUCAAUGGACGCAAGUCUGAACCAGCCAUGUCGCGUGAAGGAUGACGGCCCUAUGGGUUGUAAACUUCUUUUGUAUGGGAGUAAACCAGGGUAUGCAUACCCUCUUGUAUGUACCAUAUGAAUAAGGAUCGGCUAACUCCGUGCCAGCAGCUGCGGUAAUACGGAGGAUCCGAGCGUUAUCCGGAUUUAUUGGGUUUAAAGGGUGCGUAGGCGGAUUGAUAAGUUAGUGGUGAAAGGUUGCGGCUCAACCGUAAAAUUGCAGUUGAAACUGGUAGUCUAGAGUACAGUAGCGGUGGGCGGAAUGCGUGGUGUAGCGGUGAAAUGCUUAGAGAUCACGCAGAACUCCGAUUGCGAAGGCAGCUUACUGGACUGCAUCUGACAUUGAUGCACGAAAGCGUGGGUAGCAAACAGGAUUAGAUACCCGGGUAGUC
rnacentral:rRNA from 1 species